rnacentral:rRNA from 1 species
CAGUAGCCGCGGGAAUACGGAGGGUGCAAGCGUUAAUCGGAAUUACUGGGCGUAAAGCGUGCGUAGGCGGUUCGUUAAGUCUGUUGUGAAAGCCCCGGGCUCAACCUGGGAAUGGCAAUGGAUACUGGCGAGCUAGAGUGUGUCAGAGGAUGGUGGAAUUCCCGGUGUAGCGGUGAAAUGCGUAGAGAUCGGGAGGAACAUCAGUGGCGAAGGCGGCCAUCUGGGACAAGACUGACGCUGAGGCACGAAAGCGUGGGGAGCAAACAGGAUUAGAUACCCCUGUAGUCCCUGUCUCUUAUAA